rnacentral:rRNA from 1 species
UACGUAGGGUCCGAGCGUUAUUCGGAAUUACUGGGCGUAAAGCGCGCGUAGGCGGACCUGCAAGUCGGGGGUGAAAGCCGAGGCUCAACCUCGGAACUGCCUUCGAUACUGCGGGUCUCGAGUCCGGGAGAGGUGAGUGGAAUUCCUAGUGUAGAGGUGAAAUUCGUAGAUAUUAGGAAGAACACCAGUGGCGAAGGCGGCUCACUGGCCCGGUACUGACGCUGAGGCGCGAAAGCGUGGGGAGCAAACAGG